GUUGUCUCGAAGAACAUCUAUUAAAAUUGGAACGAUACAUAAAAGAUUAGUAUAGUCCGCAUAAGACACGCAUAAAUCGAAAUAUAAUCCAAAUUAUU
rfam:Arabidopsis thaliana chromosome 3, complete sequence.